rnacentral:rRNA from 1 species
CUUUCGGCGUGCUUAACACAUGCAAGUCGAACGGAAAGGCCCUGCUUUUGUGGGGUGCUCGAGUGGCGAACGGGUGAGUAACACGUGAGUAACCUGCCCUUGACUUUGGGAUAACUUCAGGAAACUGGGGCUAAUACCGGAUAGGAGCUCCUGCUGCAUGGUGGGGGUUGGAAAGUUUCGGCGGUUGGGGAUGGACUCGCGGCUUAUCAGCUUGUUGGUGGGGUAGUGGCUUACCAAGGCUUUGACGGGUAGCCGGCCUGAGAGGGUGACCGGCCACAUUGGGACUGAGAUACGGCCCAGACUCCUACGGGAGGCAGCAGUGGGGAAUAUUGCACAAUGGGCGGAAGCCUGAUGCAGCAACGCCGCGUGCGGGAUGACGGCCUUCGGGUUGUAAACCGCUUUCGCCUGUGACGAAGCGUGAGUGACGGUAAUGGGUAAAGAAGCACCGGCUAACUACGUGCCAGCAGCCGCGGUGAUACGUAGGGUGCGAGCGUUGUCCGGAUUUAUUGGGCGUAAAGGGCUCGUAGGUGGUUGAUCGCGUCGGAAGUGUAAUCUUGGGGCUUAACCCUGAGCGUGCUUUCGAUACGGGUUGACUUGAGGAAGGUAGGGGAGAAUGGAAUUCCUGGUGGAGCGGUGGAAUGCGCAGAUAUCAGGAGGAACACCAGUGGCGAAGGCGGUUCUCUGGGCCUUUCCUGACGCUGAGGAGCGAAAGCGUGGGGAGCGAACAGGCUUAGAUACCCUGGUAGUCCACGCUGUAAACGGUGGGUACUAGGUGUGGGGUCCAUUCCACGGGUUCCGUGCCGUAGCUAACGCUUUAAGUACCCCGCUUGGGGAGUACGGCCGCAAGGCUAAAACUCAAAGGAAUUGACGGGGCCCCGCACAAGCGGCGGAGCAUGCGGAUUAAUUCGAUGCAACGCGUAGAACCUUACCUGGGUUUGACAUGGAUCGGGAGUGAUCAGAGAUGGGUGUGCCUCUUUUGGGGUCGGUUCACAGGUGGUGCAUGGCUGUCGUCAGCUCGUGUCGUGAGAUGUUGGGUUAAGUCCCGCAACGAGCGCAACCCUUGUUCACUGUUGCCAGCACGUUAUGGUGGGGACUCAGUGGAGACCGCCGGGGUCAACUCGGAGGAAGGUGGGGAUGACGUCAAGUCAUCAUGCCCCUUAUGUCCAGGGCUUCACGCAUGCUACAAUGGCUGGUACAGAGAGUGGCGAGCCUGUGAGGGUGAGCGAAUCUCGGAAAGCCGGUCUCAGUUCGGAUUGGGGUCUGCAACUCGACCUCAUGAAGUCGGAGUCGCUAGUAAUCGCAGAUCAGCAACGCUGCGGUGAAUACGUUCCCGGGGCUUGUACACACCGCCCGUCAAGUCAUGAAAGUUGGUAACACCCGAAGCCGGUGGCCUAACCGUUGUGGGGGAGCCGUCGAAGGUGGGACUGGUGAUUA